CAGCAGCCGCGGGAAUACAGAGGGUGCGAGCGUUAAUCGGAUUUACUGGGCGUAAAGCGUGCGUAGGCGGCUUCUUAAGUCGGAUGUGAAAUCCCUGAGCUUAACUUAGGAAUUGCAUUCGAUACUGGGAAGCUAGAGUAUGGGAGAGGAUGGUAGAAUUCCAGGUGUAGCGGUGAAAUGCGUAGAGAUCUGGAGGAAUACCGAUGGCGAAGGCAGCCAUCUGGCCUAAUACUGACGCUGAGGUACGAAAGCAUGGGGAGCAAACAGGAUUAGAUACCCGGGUAGUUCCUGUCUCUUAUAA
rnacentral:rRNA from 1 species